rnacentral:rRNA from 1 species
GACGAACGCUGGCGGCGUGCUUAACACAUGCAAGUCGAGCGAGGCUCCACCUUCGGGUGGAUGCCCUAGCGGCGAACGGGUGAGUAACACGUGGGCAACCUGCCCCUAGCACUGGGAUAACCCCGGGAAACCGGGGCUAAUACCGGAUACGAACUCAGUAGGCAUCUACCGAGUUGGAAAAAUUUAUUGGCUAGGGAUGGGCCCGCGGCCUAUCAGCUUGUUGGUGGGGUAACGGCCCACCAAGGCUCCGACGGGUAGCCGGCCUGAGAGGGCGACCGGCCACACUGGGACUGAGACACGGCCCAGACUCCUACGGGAGGCAGCAGUGGGGAAUAUUGCACAAUGGGCGAAAGCCUGAUGCAGCGACGCCGCGUGAGGGAUGACGGCCUUCGGGUUGUAAACCUCUUUCAGCUCCGACGAAGCGAAAGUGACGGUAGGGGCAGAAGAAGCACCGGCCAACUACGUGCCAGCAGCCGCCGUAACAC